UACAAGCUUAACUUGUUACUAAAAUCAAUUGGGUACUUUUUUUACUUUUUAAAUUAUAUAAGCAACUUUGGCCUCUCUCAAGAGGCUUGGCUCUGACCUAAAUGUAUGGCGUAAACUAAAGAAAACACAUGAUUUUCAUGGAUAAGAGCGAGGAAGAGAAACCUAAAUAAAAUAUAAAUAAUUUAUCAUAUUAAUUUUGUUCUCUUUGGUAUUAUAUAAGACAUGAUGCUUUGAAAAGUCCCGCUAACAUCAGUGUUUAAUAUUAACAAAAGGAAGAAAUUCUGAAUUAGUUUAGUAUUUAUAGGUCUGGUAAACUUGGUGCCAGCAUCCGCGGUUAGACCAAGAUGAUCAAGUCAUACUAUAUAGGUUGAAAAGGCAGUUAGGUAAAAGCUUGAAGUUAAAAGAUUGUUUAUCAAGAAGUGGAAUUCAAAUAUAAACAAAUAUAUCAUAAUAUGCUGAAUAAAACUGAAUCUGCGACAGUUAAUAGGGAAACUGGGAUUAGAUACCCCAUUAUUGUUUACUGUAAAUUAAUUAUAUUUACCUGAGUACUAUGAAUAUAAAAAAUUUAAAACUCAAAGAGCUUGGCGGUGUUCUAGACCCCUUAGGGGAACCUGUCUCGUAAUCGAAAAUCCACGAUAUACCUGACCUUUUUUUGUUUUCAGUCUGUAUACCGUCGUCGUCAGGUAACUUUGAAAAAUAUAAAAGUUAGCGAGAAAGUUAUAAUAAACUUGGAUGUCAGAUCAAGGUGCAACUUACAAAAAGGAGAGGAUGGGUUACAAUUAAUAAUUAUAAUAUGGAAAGUAGGUUGAAAUUUCCGACUGCAAGGAGGACUUAAAAGUAAGAACUUAAUUAUAUAAAUUUUCUGAAUUUGGCUCUGGAACGUGCACACAUCGCCCGUCGCUCUCGUUGAAAAAUGAGAUAAGUCGUAACACAGUAGGGGUAAUGGAAAUUGUUCCUGGACG
rnacentral:rRNA from 1 species